rnacentral:rRNA from 1 species
GAUGAACGCUGGCGGCGUGCCUAAUACAUGCAAGUCGAGCGAACGGACGCGAAUCUUGCUUUUCUGAUGUUAGCGGCGGACGGGUGAGUAACACGUGUAUAACCUCCCUAUCAGUCUGGGAUAACUUCGGGAAACCGGCGCUUAUACCGGAUAAUAUUUUGAACCGCAUGGUUCAAUAGUGAAAGACGGUCUUGCUGUCACUUAUCGAUGGAUCCGCGCUGCAUUAGCUAGUUGGUAAGGUAACGGCUUACCAAGGCAACGAUGCAUAGACGACCUGAGAGGGUGAUAGGCCACACUGGAACUGAGACACGGUCAAGAGUACUAAGAGAGGCAGCAGAAGGGAAUCGUCCGCAGUGGGCGAAAGCAUGACGGAGCAGCGCCAAGUGAGUGAUAGAGGACUUCGGAUCGUAAAACUCGGUUAUUGGGGAAGAACAGAUGUGGAAGGAAAUGUGGAGAGCGUGACGGUACCGAGUCAGAAAGCAACGGCUAACUACGUG